rnacentral:rRNA from 1 species
GAUGUACGCUGGCGGCGUGCCUAAUACAUGCAAGUCGAACGCUGGAAAUCUAGCUUGCUAGAUUGAAGGAGUGGCGAACGGGUGAGUAAUACAUAAGCAACCUACCCACGAAGACUGGGAUAAUCUCUGGAAACGGGGACUAAUACCGGAUAGGUAAUCGGAAGGCAUCUUCUGAUUAUUAAAGGUUAAAAACACUGGUGGAUGGGCUUAUGGCGCAUUAGUUAGUUGGUGAGGUAACGGCCCACCAAGACGAUGAUGCGUAGCCGGCCUGAGAGGGUGAACGGUCACAUUGGGACUGAGACACGGCCCAGACUCCUACGGGAGGCAGCAGUAGGGAAUUUUCGGCAAUGGGGGAAACCCUGACCGAGCAACGCCGCGUGAGUGAUGACGGCCUUCGGGAUGUAAAGCUCUGUUGUAAGGGAAGAACGGUAGAUAGAGAAUAUCUAAAUGACGGUACCUGACCAGAAAGCCACGGCUAACUACGUG